rnacentral:lncRNA from 1 species
UUGCUUAAUCGAAGUUAUAACUAGCCCUAAAAUUGUCAGAAACACAAGGGAUUUCAAUCCAAUCAACACAUAAAACAUGUAUAUUCGAAACUGUGGAUAAUCAUUAGGAAAAUCGUAAUAACCAAUUCCUUGCUUUGAGAGCCUUAAGAGUCUGAGUUUGAAGAGAACAUGAAAUUUGAAGGAAAGGGAUAGCUUACAGUACUCUCUCUCGGUGAAGGUUCCUGGUGAUGGUGGGAAGUUCCGAAGCUGACAGCGAAUCACAAUUCCUCCGCCCAGCUUUUGCCUCUUUUCCUUGCUUUUUCCAGAUUCUCUACCACCCCUUUUCUUGUUUCCUUCAACCUCUACCCUUUCUCCUCUCGGUUUUCCUUUUCCCUUUUCCUUCUUGCCCAAAAGCUCUUCCCCACCUCGGCUCUCUCUUUUUCCUUGCUUUCUUUUUCUCCCUCAGCCCUUC